rnacentral:lncRNA from 1 species
UUGGAUCCUAUUUUAAUAGCAAAAGAAACUUUGGAGGUAUAUAUUAUCCGAAAAAAGAAAAGAUGGAUCAUUAAAUUAGACCUUGAAAAGGCCUUUAACAGAGUGGAUUGGAAAUUUUAGAAAAUGUAAUGCAAAAGAAGAUCUUCGACGUAGGAUAUUGUGUUAUAUUGGCCAGCCUUUACAGCAUCCCCACUUUGAAGUCUUUGAUGAUCAGGACUUUCGGAUCAGCCCUCUACUUCAAACAGUUUUUGCUCAACCAAUCAAGGCUUAUUCUUCUUUGUUCUCAGCAUGCUGCCUUUGAUUAUGAUUUUGCUUUGGAAAGAUUCUUUUUAUCAUUUUGUUUGUCUUUGUUUUUGUGGCUUUUUGUUUUGAUCUUGUGUUGUCGCUUUUUGGAUGUUUUGAGGGCACUAAGGGGGUGUCAACCUAGUUUGUGAUGCCCGGAUGCGCCUGUUGAUCUUCCCUCUCCC